AUGAAGGACUUCAACUUGGGGCUUGGGCAGCUUGUUGUUUUUGUGAUGACUGGGCGCAUUGCAAAAGCAUUUGUCUGCUCCUUCGGUGUUGGCUUUAUUGAUGGAGGUGGAGCUGAAGUAGCACAACAAGAGGAAGAGCAAGGAGGUGCUGACGAAGAGGGACAGGUGGAUGAGGAGGGGAUUGACGGAGAGAUCAUGGGAGAAGCACCCAUAGGCAUCAUAUACAGCAUGGGUGUAAGUUUGGAUUUGGAGGAGGAAGGCCGUCUUGCCAUGAUGAUUGACAUUGAGCAGGGGAACAUUGCUUCACGGUUUGUUCAUCGGUUCACAAUCACCAACAUCACGAAGAAGUCAAUGAAAAUCCCAAACCAAGUGUGUGUGCUCCUGAAUAUUGGAGCUGAAGGAUUUAUUGGAGUUCGCUUGGGAGAAGGCCCGCUCUCAAGGGUUGCAUCCAAAACAGCCAAGGAUGGACGCAUGGUGUUCAAUAAGGAGUGGGGAGUUUUUGUGUCAACCUACAACUUGCAAGUAGGGAGUGCUGCUGUGUUCACCUUCCGUAGGAGCAAUGUUGCCCCCUUUGAUGUGGUCUGUGUUGUUGACAUCCUGAGCAUAUGA
rnacentral:rRNA from 1 species